UUCCAGGCCCUACGGGGCGCAGCAGGCGCGAAACCUCCGCAAUGCGAGCAAUCGCGACGGGGGGACCCCAAGUGCCACUCUUAACGGGGUGGCUUUUCUUAAGUGUAAAAAGCUUUUGGAAUAAGGGCUGGGCAAGACCGGUGCCAGCCGCCGCGGUAACACCGGCAGCUCUAGUGGUAGCCAUUUUUAUUGGGCCUAAAGCGUUCGUAGCCGGUUUGAUAAGUCUCUGGUGAAAUCCUAUAGCUUAACUGUGGGACUUGCUGGAGAUACUAUUAGACUUGAGGUCGGGAGAGGUUAGCGGUACUCCCAGGGUAGGGGUGAAAUCCUGUAAUCCUGGGAGGACCACCUGUGGCGAAGGCGGCUAACUGGAACGAACCUGACGGUGAGGGACGAAAGCCAGGGGCGCGAACCGGAUUAGAUACCCGGGUAGUCCUGGCCGUAAACUAUGCGAACUWGGUGUURGAWWGGCUUCGAGCYKAUCCAGUGCCGAAGGGAAGCUGUUAAGUCCGCCGCCUGGGAAGUACGGUCGCAAGACUGAAACUUAA
rnacentral:rRNA from 1 species